rnacentral:ncRNA from 1 species
AAUAACGAUGCUACAACCCGAUUGGGGGAUGGCUCGGCUCGAGAGCCGAAGAAGGUCGUGACAAGCUGCGAUAAGUCGCGGGGAGAGGCAUGAAUCUCUUUGAUCCGCGAAUUGCCGAAUUGGACCUCCUGACAAUAGUCAUUCCUCGUAUUAACGUAGGAAGGGGAACCCCCCGAACUGAAGCAUCUCAGUAGGGGGAGGAAAAGAAAUCAAUAGAAAUUCCGUGAGUAGUGGCGAAUGAAAACGGAAUAGGACAAACCGAAUCUCCUUGGGAAACCUUGGAGAGAUGUGGAGUAUGGACACUAGUUGCCUAAGUAUGAGAAGUAGAAGUCGUCCUGGAACGGCGCACCAAAGAGGGUGAAAGUCCCGUAUACGUACCAAAUAUGGCCAUGUAGUGUAUCCUGAGUAGCGUGCGUUGGAUAUCGCGCGUGAAUAUGGGAGGCAGAGACUUCCAAUCCUAAAUACUACUCGAGACCGAUAGUUGACAAGUAGCGUGAGCGAAAGCUGAAAAGUAUCCUUAGCGGGAUGUGAAAAGAACCUGAAACCAAUUGGGAACAAGCUGAAUAGGCGUGAAAGCGAAGAUAUGAGCAGCGUCUAUUCGUGCGUUUCGAAAAAUGCCCCUGGGAGUUCUGAUCAUUGGCGAGGUUAAGCAGUCGAUCUGCGUAGCCGUAGGGAAACCGAAUAGUCCGCAGCCGCAAGGCGAGGGACUGGGUGUGCUCGCCCGGAGUCAAUGGUGGGAGACCUGAAGCCCGUCGAUCUAUGCCUGGCCAGAUUGAAGCCCGACGAAAGUUGGGUGGAGGAUCAAACCGUUGCUGAUGUGCAAAUCGCUCGGAUGAGCUUGGUAUAGGGGUGAAAGUCCAAUCGAGAUGGGCAAUAGCAGGUUCCGCGCGAGACUACUCGUAGGUAGAUCUCUGUGAAGGUAGA